rnacentral:rRNA from 1 species
CGCCUGCCCAGUGAACAUUAAACGGCCGCGGUACCCUAACCGUGCAAAGGUAGCAUAAUCAUUUGUCUACUAAUUAUAGACCUGUAUGAAAGGCAAAAUGAAAGUCUGACUGUCUCUUAUAAUAAACCAAUUAAACUGAUCUCCUAGUAAAAAAGCUAGAAUUAAACCAUAAGACCAGAAGACCCUGUGAAGCUUAAACUACACUAUUAAACCCAGUAAUAACUACUUUCGGUUGGGGCGACCUUGGAAAAAAAAAGAACUUCCAACAAUACGACCUACCUCGUACCACUCACACAGGCCCACAAGCCAACUAAUGACCCAGCAAAGCUGAUAAUUGAACCAAGUUACUCCAGGGAUAACAGCGCAAUCCUCUUCAAGAGCCCAUAUCAAAAAGAGGGUUUACGACCUCGAUGUUGGAUCAGGACAUCCUAAUGGUGCAGACGCUAUUAAGGGUUCGUUUGUUCAACGAUCAA